rnacentral:lncRNA from 1 species
CUUAAUCCAACGUUCAACGAUAAGCAAACUCAGCCUGAAAACAUCCUCCAAUCUCAACCAAAAUGACACCAAAUUCUCCUUUAUCCGUCAACUUCGUCAAUUUUCCUCCAUUGUCAUCCAAUUUGUGUGCGCUUAAUGAGUUGUCCGGUUCUAGAAAAAUCUAGAAACUAUCUAGGUGACUCUCUCAAUGGGAUUAUCUGGAGAUUCAUGGAAAAUUCAUCUGAUAAUCGUUCAAUUUAUACACUACGUGGAUGGUUGAUCGAUUAUGCCAUUUGAAUUUUAAAUUUUUAUCCUCAAUUCUUAUCCGUUUUUCCCCCUAGAUUACCUCCUAAUUGCCAUCUAUAAAUACCUCUUUCCCCUCACUAAUUAUGGUCAAAUUGAUGGGAAAAAUUGAAGAUUUUUGAGGAGUAUUCCUCUAAUCUCACGUAAUCAAAUAUCCGUGGCAAAAAAAUACUUAGUUCCGGUGAAAUCACUCAAAUCCAACGAAGUUAAUUUGAAUUCCGGUGAAACUAAGUAAAACUUAGGUAGUGAAGUCAUGACUUGCAACGUUGUCCCAAGUUUCUACUCCGAAAAAGGUAAUAACUUCAUCUUUUACAUUUUUCUUCUUCACGAUAGGAUGUUAUAAUGUGUAAUCUGGUAAAUUGUGAAAUUUUGUUGACGUACUGAAGCUUUUGAUGUUCAAAAUCCAUCUGGAUAAAUUUUGUUAAGGCCUAUGGGUAUGAUGGUUGUACCCGAGUUAUCUAUUUGUGUUGAUUGAACAAGCCUUAAGUUUGAGUGUGCAAUUCGUGUCUCUAACUACUGAUUUGAGUGUGUGGUUUGAUUGACGUCAUGUAUAAAAAAUGAAUUUGUGAGUGAAUAACAUUGUGUUUCAAAUAUUAUUUUAGAUAAGGUAUCUCCGAAAUAUUUUUUGGUUUCUUGAUGUCAAGUAAAAUUGAUAGAUAAUGAGAUGAGGCUAGUUUUUGUUUUGAACUCCUCCUCUAGAUGUAAAAGUUAUAUUUUUUAUGUCAAUUUCGAUGAGAGUUCUAAUAUUUUUAAUGGUAAUGUGUAAAUUUUAUUUUGAUAUUAAGGUUGUCACUGUGUUGUUUAACUCUUCAAAGUCCCCUCUUUCCUUUUGUUUAAGUUUAUUUUCUUUUCAAUGAUUUUAAUUCAGUUACGUUAUUAGAGAGGUAGUAUCUCAUAACCGAAUUAGUUUGAUCACUUUAGCUGAAGUCAUGUAUCAUUCGAGAAAUCUCUCUGUUCAAAUUAGGUUGAUGUAUGUGAUAAUCUUGUGAUUCUUACUGGAAUUCACUAGUCUAAGAUCUAUCCAUUUAUGCUAGUACAAGCUGUAAGUUACAAGAUUUGCUUUAUCUUUCCAGUAGCACUUUUGGAUUUAAUUAAGAUGGCUCUUUACUUUACCCUUUACAUUAUUUGGUUUUGGAUUUACCAUGUGAUGGGUUAAGGCUCAUUUGCUCAUCUCCUUUCAAGAGUCAAAAUAUUCCAUGUAUCUUUAAGAAAAUAACUUCAAUGUCGUUGCUUUUUUUUUUUUUUUUUAAGGUAAUACGUAAAAAUGAUCUCAAACUUGACACCAAAUUAUAACUUUGACCUUAAACUUUGAUAGCGCACAAAUAGGACUUUUAACUAUUCAAAACCUGAACAAAUAUGACCUCCGAUUUUGCAAUCCCAUGUGUGAGUCUCACUCGCGCCUACGUGGAAAGGUAAUUCAAUCACACGAUGCCACGUCGUUAAAAGAGCUGACUUGGAGAGAUGUCAUAUUUGUACAGUUUUAAAUAGUUAAAAGUCAUAUUUGUGCAUUAUCAAAGUUUUGUUUUUUGUGUUAAAACAACAUCGUUUUUUUUUAAUUAUUAUUGUUAUAAUAAUAAUAUUAUUAUUAUUAUUAUUAUUAUUUUAUUUAUUUCUAUAGCAGCAACACCUAACUUUUUUUAAUUAAAAAAUAAAAUAGCCACUAGCAGGGAUCGAACCCGCACAGUAGGUUGAAGGAAGCGCCCAAGAAGAGCAAGUAACACCACUGGGCUAUCUAAAUUCCUUGUUUCAUGCGGUUCAAUAUUAAUAUACGUACAUAAAUAUACAUUUUCCAUCUUAUAUAUAUACAACGUAAUUUUUUUACCGAGGUGGUUCGGGUGAACCCCAUGGCAACCACGUAGGUCCGCCCCUUGUUAAUUUAAUAACGUUUUAAUAACAUUAAUUUAAUAACAUUUUAAUUAUGUUAAUUUGUUAACGUUAAUUUAAUUUACUACUACUACUAUCCUUAAUAACAUUAAUUUAAUAACGUUUUGUUAAAACUAUAAUUUUUUUUAUUAUUAAUAUAGUUUCAUCUUUAAUUUAACAUUUAAAUAAAUAAUAUUUAGAUAUAUUAUAUAACUUAAAUUCGUCCUUUGCUUUAUAAUAUAUAUAUAUACAUACCCGUUCGAUUUUUUUCAUAUGAUACUAACUCGCCUAAUUAAUAAAUCUUCAAUAUUGCUCUUUUUUCGCAAUAACAAAAGAAAUUAGAUGUCAUUUUCAUCUUUGAGCUGAAAAUAAUGAAAAAUAAUAGUGAAGAGUCAUUUAAAGGUCAUAUUUGUGCAGUUUUGAAUAGUUAAAGGUCAUAUUUGUGCACUUUCAAAGUUUAAGGUCAUAUUUAUGUAUUAUGCCCUUAAAUUUUAAGCCAAAUGCGCCCAGUUUUGCAUGUUGAACACGCGUUUUGCCACGUAGGAUUUGAGGUCAUAUUUGUGCAGUUUUGAAUAGUUAAAGGUCAUAUUUGUGCAUUGUCAAUGUUUAAGGUCAAAGUUAUAAUUUGGUAUCAAGUUUAAGGUCAUUUUUAUGUUUUUUUUUUAAGACCAUAGAGUAUCCCUCUCAAUUGUUUACACCUAUUUUACUUAGUCUAAUCAAUAUGUUGAGUAAAAUCCUUUACCUGGAGCAUAAUUCUUGUUUGAACCUUUUUCCAUUUGACUUUGCUCCCUGCUCAAGCUUGCCAUAUUCAUUAUAAUAUUGAAAAAGCAUGGGCAAGCUUAUAACACUUAUCUUAUUGCGGGCAUGUUCUGACAAAUGAUUACUUGAUCUGUUUGAUUUGAAAUUCAGUUCAGAUUCUUCUUAAAGUAUUUAUCUGUUCAAAUGAUUUAGGUAAGGUAUUAAUCCUUUUUUCUUUUGCUAUGCCGCAUGUGAAUUAAGGGUCCAUUUGGACCGUCCAAAACAUCCCUUGCAUACUCCAUGAUGGCCCAAGGAGUCCCCAAUAUAUUUGAGUCAAGGCCUGAUCACGCUAAAGUCCCAAAAUAGAUUAUUUUUGAAGAAAACUAGGUUGUAUACAUGGAUAUACAACAGAUAUAUAACAUAUCUAUAUAUGCAGCUAUUUGAGAAGAAUGAGGAAAAAAACCGGAUAUGUAGGUGGAGGACCAAAAUAUGUGUAUACAUAACUGAUUUGGCCAUGCAUACACCAAGUAUACGUCAAGCAUAUAGAAAAUGUGAAGGAGCUGAUAAUAUACUACAAUUAUACACUGCAGAAAUGGAUCAAAGUCCAUAAACAUUCGGCCCAAGAGCUGGGUAGAUUCAAAAUGGGCUAAAUAUGGGGCCCAAACUUCAACUUUUCUUCAUUUAUUAUUGUACUAAUUCAU